AGGAUGCACCGUAGUUUACUACACCGUAUUCUGUGAGUUGCGAACGGGUGAGUAACGCGUAGGUAACCUGCCUGGUAGCGGGGGAUAACUAUUGGAAACGAUAGCUAAUACCGCAUAAGAACAUUUACUGCAUGGUAGAUGUUUAAAAGGUGCAAAUGCAUCACUACCAGAUGGACCUGCGUUGUAUUAGCUAGUAGGUGAGGUAACAGCUCACCUAGGCGACGAUACAUAGCCGACCUGAGAGGGUGAUCGGCCACACUGGGACUGAGACAUGGCCCAGACUCCUACGGGAGGCAGCAGUAGGGAAUCUUCGGCAAUGGGGGGAACCCUGACCGAGCAACGCCGCGUGAGUGAAGAAGGUUUUCGGAUCGUAAAGCUCUGUUGUUAGGGAAGAACGAGUGUGAGAAUGGAAAGUUCAUACUGUGACGGUACUUAACCAGAAAGGGACGGCUAACUACGUGCCAGCAGCCGCGGUAAUACGUAGGUCCCGAGCGUUGUCCGGAUUUAUUGGGCGUAAAGCGAGCGCAGGCGGUUAGAUAAGUCUGAAGUUAAAGGCAGUGGCUCAACCAUUGUAGGCUUUGGAAACUGUUUAACUUGAGUGCAGAAAGGGGAGAGUGGAAUUCCAUGUGUAGCGGUGAAAUGCGUAGAUAUAUGGAGGAACACCGGUGGCGAAAGCGGCUCUCUGGUCUGUAACUGACGCUGAGGCUCGAAAGCGUGGGGAGCGAACAGGAUUAGAUACCCUGGUAGUCCACGCCGUAAACGAUGAGUGCUAGGUGUUAGGUCCUUUCCGGGACUUAGUGCCGCAGCU
rnacentral:rRNA from 1 species